CGUAACGCGACCGACGGCGGCUGAUGGAUUCUCCGUCCGCGCACAAAUAAUGAGCAGCAAUAAGACAUUACUCACCUCCGCGCUCACUUUCCUGUCGUCCCCGGAGUUACGGAUGCCGCUGCUGGACAGGAAUGUCCACCGUGACGCUGUCCGGUCCUCCGGUACGGUCUGCUCCGUAAACUGGGCAAUCUUCAAUAGCCAUGAUGCAGACAGGACCCAGGAUGAUGGAAACAUAUCAAAAUUUGCAGGUCCCAAUCACAGCAGCAAAUCUCCAACAAAACGUCCGAAAAAGAAAACUAUCAAGGUGCUGCAGUGGUCCAGUUAAAGUCCAGACCUGAACCUGACUGAGACACUGUGGUGCAUAAGGGACA
ensembl:lncRNA